AGAACGAACGCUGGCGGCAUGCCUAACACAUGCAAGUCGAACGAGACCUUCGGGUCUAGUGGCGCACGGGUGCGUAACGCGUGGGAAUCUGCCCAAAGGUUCGGAAUAACUCAGGGAAACUUGAGCUAAUACCGGAUGAUGUCGCAAGACCAAAGAUUUAUUGCCUUUGGAUGAGCCCGCGUAGGAUUAGCUUGUUGGUGAGGUAAAGGCUCACCAAGGCUACGAUCCUUAGCUGGUCUGAGAGGAUGAUCAGCCACACUGGGACUGAGACACGGCCCAGACUCCUACGGGAGGCAGCAGUGGGGAAUAUUGGACAAUGGGCGAAAGCCUGAUCCAGCAAUGCCGCGUGAGUGAUGAAGGCCCUAGGGUUGUAAAGCUCUUUUACCCGGGAAGAUAAUGACUGUACCGGGAGAAUAAGCCCGGCUAACUCCGUGCCAGCAGCCGC
rnacentral:rRNA from 1 species